UACGGAGGAUGCGAGCGUUAUCCGGAUUUAUUGAGUUUAAAGGGUGCGCAGGCGGCGUGUCAAGUCAGCGGUAAAAUGUCGGGGCUCAACCCCGGCCGGCCGUUGAAACUGGCGUGCUCGAGUUGGAGAGAAGUAUGCGGAAUUCGUGGUGUAGCGGUGAAAUGCAUAGAUAUCACGAAGAACCCCGAUUGCGAAGGCAGCAUACCGGCUCCACACUGACGCUGAGGCACGAAAGCGUGGGUAUCGAACAGG
rnacentral:rRNA from 1 species